AAUGUCUCUUAUCAGUAGCGUAGGGUUCACCACAGUCAGGUCACUUUGAUUUUGUUCUUGUUAAGAAAUAUGAUCUGGUCAACAAUUUCAGACGAAAGACUAGUACUGUUUGGCUUUCUAUUUUUUGAUACAAGUAGUGACCAUGAAAACAUUGCCUCGGAAGGAAAGGACGUUGCUGGUAUUACUAUAACAAAUAGUAUCCUCAGGACA
rnacentral:lncRNA from 1 species